GAAUCUCUCUCUCUAACUUUGAUGAUCAUGGAUUUAAUUUUAUGAAGUAAUACCAUAGGCAAAAAGAACCUCAGCUAAAUUGAUGUGCCUCAUUCACUUUACAAGCAGAUGUGAAGGCUCAUAAACUCAAUUACAGCCCGAAGGAAUGAGACAUUCUGAGAACUUUCUGUUGCUAAGGGCUGCUUCUUCCAUACCUCCCCUUAAUUAUUUUAACACUCUAUUCUCACAAGAUU